rfam:Oryza rufipogon genomic scaffold, chr08
AAAAAGACAAACCUUGGGUUUCCGUGUCCAACGUUUGACUGUCCGUCUUAUAUGAAUUUUUUUUAUAAUUAGUAUUUUUAUUGUUGUUAGAUGAUAAAACAUGAUUAAUACUUUAUACGUGACUUGUCUUUUUAAUUUUUUUCAUAAUUUUUUCAAAUAAGACGGACGGUUAAAUGUUGGACACGGAAGCUCAAGGUUUGUCUUUUU